rnacentral:lncRNA from 1 species
CCCGCAUUGUGUGAGAUCAUUGCUCGAUCUUGGUUAGCAUUGAUCCCUCUGCUUCUUCUCACUAUCCCUUCCAUUUUGAGAAGAUUUGGCUUUCUUAUCCAUGGCAUUGGGGCAUUGUGCAACAUGCUUGAAGGGUUCUAAUGUGAGGCAAUGCUAUGUAUCGAGUCAUCGUAAACUGGAAUCAACAAAGCAAAGGCUUCUAAGCUAGAAUCAAGAGGAGGGGGA